rnacentral:rRNA from 1 species
AUUGAACGCUGGCGGCAUGCCUUACACAUGCAAGUCGAACGGUAACAGGUCUUCGGAUGCUGACGAGUGGCGAACGGGUGAGUAAUACAUCGGAACGUGCCCGAUCGUGGGGGAUAACGAAGCGAAAGCUUUGCUAAUACCGCAUACGAUCUACGGAUGACAGCAGGGGACCGCAAGGCCUUGCGCGAACGGAGCGGCCGAUGGCAGAUUAGGUAGUUGGUGGGAUAAAAGCUUACCAAGCCGACGAUCUGUAGCUGGUCUGAGAGGACGACCAGCCACACUGGGACUGAGACACGGCCCAGACUCCUACGGGAGGCAGCAGUGGGGAAUUUUGGACAAUGGGCGAAAGCCUGAUCCAGUCAUGCCGCGUGCAGGAUGAAGGCCUUCGGGUUGUAAACUGCUUUUGUACGGAACGAAAAGACUCUGGUUAAUACCUGGGGUCCAUGACGGUACCGUAAGAAUAAGCACCGGCUAACUACGUG